rnacentral:rRNA from 1 species
UACGGAGGAUGCAAGCGUUAUCCGGAAUGAUUGGGCGUAAGCGUCCGCAGGUGGCUAUGUAAGUCUGCUGUUAAAGAGUGAGGCUCAACCUCAUAAAAGCAGUGGAAACUACAUGGCUAGAGUGCGUUCGGGGCAGAGGGAAUUCCUGGUGUAGCGGUGAAAUGCGUAGAUAUCGGAAGGAACAUCAGUGGCGAAAGCGGCUUCCUGGACCAGUACCGACGUUCAGGCACGAAAGCGUGGGGAGCAAACGGG